rnacentral:rRNA from 1 species
UACCAACAGCUAGAACUGCCUUUCGUAGAAUAGGCUCGGUGCCUUGUCUCCCGAAGUUUUGGUUGGCAUAAUCCUUAACCGGGUCUAGGGGUACGCGAUCGCUUCCGUGUUCUAUAGCUCGCGUAUACACGAGCACUGGUAUAUGAGACGCAGGUGGGGUUCUGGGAAGAGAAGCCACUCUUCCUCCAACGACACAAACCGACGUCCUUGGGACUCCUCUAGGGUACCCGACGACGACCACGACUCAUGCAACAACUCAGGUGGCCACAAAAGUGACUGUUCCUGUUCCGACGUCGAGUGUAAUUCCCACCACGGUUCUUCCAGUAGUAAAGACGAGGGUCGUUCCUACGAGGGUACAAACAGACACCACAGCUACUCUUCCUUAUGUUCAGACUGUAGCUGUAACAGCGGUUGCGAUCGACGUGGUGAUUGACGGAACGAGGAGAACGAUUCCAAUAGUUACUGUCCAAACCGUAGUAACUCCCAAACUACUGGUGUCAAGUACGGUACUGACGUUGGGUCUUCUGACAACUACCAGGAAGGUCGUUCCUGACCUCUCCAGUAAGGUUCGUCGUGACCACGGCGUUUCCAUAUAAGUCGACCGGAAGAUAAUAUGGUAGUCGACAACCGUUCCACGAGGGUCUCGAAUUGCCUUUCAACUGACCUUACCGGAAGGCACAAGGGUGACAACUACAAAGACAACAACUAGACUGACAAUCUGAACGCUUCGGUCGUUGGAUACUAGUCUAAUUCUGACGAUAGUUCACUCAUUGCGGUGGUUGGUCCUUGUUAAAGGAAACGAUGCUACGCGUAUACCAAAGACCAAAACCAUAAACCCGGUGUAUGGUGGAUACUCGUCAUAACUACACAUGACUAGACUAAAAGACUCCCUUUGGAGUUCCCGUAAAACCCAAUGCAACUACUCCUGGAACAAAGGUGACUGAAGGUCCCACUGUUGUCCAGGUCGUAGAAGCUACGGUUCCGGCCCUAACGAGACUUGCUGUUGAAACAGUUCGAACAGAGGACCAUGCUGUUGCUCACCCCUAUGU